rnacentral:rRNA from 1 species
UCAGACGAUGCGUCUGCAUAUCAAUAAGCGGAGGAAAAGAAACUAACAAGGAUUCCCCUAGUAACGGCGAGUGAAGCGGGAAGAGCUCAAAUUUGAAAUCUUAAAGGGUUUCCCUUUACGAAUUGUAGUUUAAAGAAGUGUUUUCUGUUGAGGUUUUGGUAAAAGUUCUUUGGAAUAGGACAUCAUAGAGGGUGAGAAUCCCGUAUUUGACCAUUAUUUUCAGCUUUGUGAUACACUUUCAAAGAGUCGGAUUGUUUGGGAAUGCAGUCCAAAAUGGGUGGUAAAUUUCAUCUAAAGCUAAAUAUUGGCGAGAGACCGAUAGCGAACAAGUACCGUGAGGGAAAGAUGAAAAGAACUUUGAAAAGAGAGUUAAACAGUACGUGAAAUUGUCAAAAGGGAAGCGUUUGACACCAGUGUUGUUUUCUCGAAAAUCAAUUAAAAAUGGCUCGAUUUUGUAUUGUUUGAGACCUUAAAAGCUCACUGUACAUUUUUCGUGUCUUUUUUAAUGCACUUUUCGUUUAACAAGUCAACAUCAGUUUCUUUUGUUGUAAAAGGGUCAUUGGAAGGUGGCUUUCUUUUCGGAGAAAGUGUUUAUAGCCUUUGGCCUCUGCAAUCGGAGAGACUGAGGUCUGCAGCGUAGACUCUUCGGGGUUAGAUACAUUUGUGCUAAGUUAUAGCUUUUUAUAGACAACUUGUUGACUAUAAUUAGUCUUGUAGCUUACUCGCUUAUGUUAUUUUACCUACGCUUAGGAUGUUGACUGAUAUGUAGUCGUA